rnacentral:rRNA from 1 species
GAUGAACGCUGGCGGCGUGCCUAAUACAUGCAAGUCGAGCGAACAGACGAGGAGCUUGCUCCUCUGACGUUAGCGGCGGACGGGUGAGUAACACGUGGAUAACCUACCUAUAAGACUGGGAUAACUUCGGGAAACCGGAGCUAAUACCGGAUAAUAUAUUGAACCGCAUGGUUCAAUAGUGAAAGACGGUUUUGCUGUCACUUAUAGAUGGAUCCGCGCCGCAUUAGCUAGUUGGUAAGGUAACGGCUUACCAAGGCAACGAUGCGUAGCCGACCUGAGAGGGGAAUCGGCCACCCUGGAACGGAGACCCGGUCCAAACUCCAACGGGGGGCAGAGGUAGGGAAUUUUCCGCAAUGGGCGAAAGCCUGACGGAGCAACGCCGGGGGGGUGAUGAAGGUUUUCGGAUCGUAAAACUCUUUUAUUAGGGAAGAAAAAAUGUGUAAGUAACUAUGCACGUUUGGAGGGUACCUAACCAGAAAGCCACGGCUAACUACGG